UCGCACCUACCGAUUGGAUGGUCCGGUGAAGCCUCGGGAUUGUGGUUCUGCCGCUUUAUUGUGGCUGACCGCGAGAACUUGUCUAAACCUUAUCAUCUAGAGGAAGGUG
rnacentral:rRNA from 1 species